rnacentral:miRNA from 1 species
CCGGGGGGUGUCCCAUGAAUCUCUCUGGGGCCUCCAAAAUGUUGUGUCCCCUAUGACCUGAAAAGAUAGAGUCAGACACCCACUUAGUGUAAUUAAUUGGUAAUUUAUU